GCGAGUGAAGCGGUAACAGCUCAAAUUUGAAAUCUGGCCUCACGGUCCGAGUUGUAAUUUGUAGAGGAUGCUUCGAGCAUGGUCUGGCCUAAGUUCCUUGGAACAGGACGUCAUAGAGGGUGAGAAUCCCGUAUGCGGCCAGGUGCCUACGCUCAUGUGAAGCUCCUUCGACGAGUCGAGUUGUUUGGGAAUGCAGCUCAAAAUGGGUGGUAAAUUUCAUCUAAAGCUAAAUAUUGGCCAGAGACCGAUAGCGCACAAGUAGAGUGAUCGAAAGAUGAAAAGCACUUUGGAAAGAGAGUUAAACAGUACGUGAAAUUGUUGAAAGGGAAGCGCUUGCAACCAGACUUGCGCGCGGCCGAUCAUCCGGUGUUCUCACCGGUGCACUCGGCCGUGCUCAGGCCAGCAUCGGUUUUGGCGGCUGGAUAAAGGCCCUAGGAAUGUAGCUCCUCUCGGGGAGUGUUAUAGCCUAGGGUGCAAUGCAGCCUGCUGGGACCGAGGACCGCGCUUCGGCUAGGAUGCUGGCGUAAUGGUUGUAAGCGGCCCGUCUUGAAACACGGACCAAGGAGUCUAACAUCUAUGCGAGUGUUUGGGUGUCAAACCCAUACGCGUAAUGAAAGUGAACGGAGGUGAGAACCCUUAAGGGUGCAUCAUCGACCGGUCCUGAAGUUUACGGAAGGAUCUGAGUAAGAGCAUAGCUGUUGGGACCCGAAAGAUGGUGAACUAUGCCUGAAUAGGGUGAAGCCAGAGGAAACUCUGGUGGAGGCUCGCAGCGGUUCUGACGUGCAAAUCGAUCGUCAAAUUUGGGUAUAG
rnacentral:rRNA from 1 species